CCUACGGGCGGCAGCAGUGAGGAAUAUUGGUCAAUGGGCGUAAGCCUGAACCAGCCAAGUCGCGUGAGGGAUGACGGCUCUAUGGAUCGUAAACCUCUUUUAUAAGGGAAUAAAGUGCGGGACGUGUGCCGUUUUGUAUGUACUUUAUGAAUAAGGAUCGGCUAACUCCGUGCCAGCAGCCGCGGUAAUACGGAGGAUCCGAGCGUUAUCCGGAUUUAUUGGGUUUAAAGGGUGCGUAGGCGGGUUUUUAAGUCAGCGGUGAAAGUUUGUGGCUCAACCGUAGAAUUGCCGUUGAUACUGGGAGGCUUGAGUAUGGUUGAGGCAGGCGGAAUGCGUGGUGUAGCGGUGAAAUGCUUAGAUAUCACGCAGAACCCCGAUUGCGAAGGCAGCCUGCCAAGCCAUGACUGACGCUGAUGCACGAAAGCGUGGGUAUCAAACAGGAUUAGAUACCCUUGUAGUC
rnacentral:rRNA from 1 species